AGGGCCUUAGCUCAGUGGGAGAGCACCUGCUUUGCAUGCAGAAGGUUCCAGGUCCAAUCCCUGCAGGUCUCU